rnacentral:rRNA from 1 species
UACGGGGGGGGCAAGCGUUGUUCGGAAUUACUGGGCGUAAAGGGCGCGUAGGCGGUUCGCUAAGUUGGAUGUGAAAACUCUGGGCUCAACCCAGAGCCUGCAUCCAAAACUGGCGGGCUAGAGUUCUGGAGGGGGUAGCGGAAUUCCUGGUGUAGCGGUGAAAUGCGUAGAUAUCAGGAGGAACACCGGUGGCGAAGGCGGCUAUCUGGACAGAAACUGACGCUGAGGCGCGAAAGCUAGGGGAGCAAACAGG